rnacentral:ncRNA from 1 species
UAUAGGUUUGGUCCUGGCCUUUCUAUUAGUUAUUAGUGAACUUACACAUGCAAGAAUCCCCAUUCCUGUGAAAAUGCCCUCUAAGCCAUCCACUGACAUAAAGGAGCUGGUAUCAAGCACACUAAAAGUAGCUCAUAACACCUUGCUUAGCCACACCCCCACGGGAAACAGCAGUGACAAAAAUUAAGCAAUGGACGAAAGUCCGACUAAGUUACACUAUAGAGGACUGGUAAAUUUCGUGCCAGCCACCGCGGUCAUACGAUUAGGCCAAACUAAUAGACGUUCGGCGUAAAGGGUGUUUUAGAAUUUAAAUAAAGCAAUAAAGUCAAACUCUGAUUAUGCUGUAAAAAGCUCCAAUCAAUGUAAGACAAAUAACGAAAGUGACUUUAAAAAAUCUGAUUACACGAUAGCUAGGGUCCAAACUGGGAUUAGAUACCCCACUAUGCCUAGCCCUAAACAUAAAAAAUUAUAAACAAAAUUAUUCGCCAGAGUACUACUAGCAAAAGCUAAAAACUCAAAGGACUUGGCGGUGCCUUAUACCCCUCUAGAGGAGCCUGUUCUAUAAUCGAUAAACCCCGAUAUACCUCACCAGCCUUUGCUAAGUCAGCCUAUAUACCGCCAUCUUCAGCAAACUCUAAAAAGAAUGCAUAGUAAGCAUAAAUAUUAACAUAAAAACGUUAGGUCAAGGUGUAGCUUAUAGACUGGAAAGAAAUGGGCUACAUUUCUCGCAGACGAGAAAAUAUACACGAAAACCAGUGUGAAACCAAUGGUUAAAGGUGGAUUUAGUAGUAAAUUAAGAACAGAGUGCUUAAUUGAAUAGGGCCAUGAGGCACGCACACACCGCCCGUCACCCUCCUCAAGCAAACAAAUUAAACCACUCCAUUAAACCCAAAACAUUAAUUUGUAAGAGGAGAUAA